UCGAGAAUCUUUCGCAAUGGGCGAAAGCCUGACGAAGCGACGCUGCGUGAGCGAUGAAGGCCUUCGGGUUGUAAAGCUCUUUCGCCUGGGAACAAGAGAAUCUGGAUAACACCCAGAGGAUUUGAGGGUACUAGGUAAAGAAGCACCGGCUAACUCCGUGCCAGCAGCUGCGGUAAUACGGAGGGUGCAAGCGUUAAUCGGAUUUAUUGGGCGUAAAGGGCGCGUAGGCGGACGAAUAAGUCGAGUGUGAAAUCCUGAGGCUUAACCUCAGAGCUGCACUUGAAACUGUUUGUCUAGAGGGUAGGCGGAGAAAACGGAAUUCCACAAGUAGCGGUGAAAUGCGUAGAUAUGUGGAAGAACACCGGUGGCGAAGGCGGUUUUCUAGCUUACUCCUGACGCUGAGGCGCGAAAGUUAGGGGAUCAAACAGGAUUAGAUACCCUAGUAGUCCCUGAGCGGGCUGGCAAGGCGCAU
rnacentral:rRNA from 1 species